UACGUAGGUGGCAAGCGUUGUCCGGAUUUAUUGGGCGUAAAGCGAGCGCAGGCGGUUCCUUAAGUCUGAUGUGAAAGCCCACGGCUCAACCGUGGAAGGUCAUUGGAAACUGGGGAACUUGAGUGCAGAAGAGGAGAGUGGAAUUCCAUGUGUAGCGGUGAAAUGCAUAGAUAUAUGGAGGAACACCAGUGGCGAAGGCGACUCUCUGGUCUGUAACUGACGCUGAGGCUCGAAAGCGUGGGGAGCAAACAGGAUUA
rnacentral:rRNA from 1 species